GGCCUAAUGGCCCAAUGGCAAGGCGCUUGACUACGAUUUAAUGCGAUAUCAAGAGAUUCCAGGUUCGACCCCUGGUUAGGUCA